rnacentral:rRNA from 1 species
AACGAACGCUGGCGGCGCGUCUUAAACAUGCAAGUCGAACGAUCUGUAGCAAUACAGGGAGUGGCGGACGGGUGAGGAACACGUAGGAAUCUACCUUGAAGAGCGGGACAACUUUGGGAAACCGGGGCUAAUACCGCAUAGUACGGAGAUGUUAAAGGGCUAGCAAUAGUCGCUUCGAGAUGAGCCUGCGGUCUAUCAGCUUGUUGGUGAGGUAAUGGCUCACCAAGGCUACGACGGAUAGCCGGUCUGAGAGGAUGAUCGGCCACACUGGCACUGGAGACACGGGCCAGACUCCUACGGGAGGCAGCAGUUAAGAAUCUUGCGCAAUGGGGGAAACCCUGACGCAGCGACGCCGCGUGAAGGAUGAAGGC